UACGUAGGGUGCAAGCGUUAAUCGGAAUUACUGGGCGUAAAGCGUGCGCAGGCGGUUAUGCAAGACAGAUGUGAAAUCCCCGGGCUCAACCUGGGAACUGCAUUGGUGACUGGCAGGCUUUGAGUGUGGCAGAGGGAGGUAGAAUUCCACGUGUAGCAGUGAAAUGCGUAGAGAUGUGGAGGAAUACCGAUGGCGAAGGCCAGCCUCCUGGGCCAACACUGACGCUCAUGCACGAAAGCGUGGGGAGCAAACAGG
rnacentral:rRNA from 1 species